rnacentral:rRNA from 1 species
GACGAACGCUGGCGGCGUGCUUAACACAUGCAAGUCGAGCGAUGAAGCUCCUUCGGGAGUGGAUUAGCGGCGGACGGGUGAGUAACACGUGGGCAACCUGCCUUGUAGAGAGGAAUAGCCAUUCGAAAGGAUGAUUAAUACCUCAUAUUAUUGCAGCUUCGCAUGAAGCAGUAAUGAAAGGAGCAAUCCACUACAAGAUGGGCCCGCGGCGCAUUAGCUAGUUGGUGAGGUAACGGCUCACCAAGGCGACGAUGCGUAGCCGACCUGAGAGGGUGAUCGGCCACAUUGGGACUGAGACACGGCCCAGACUCCUACGGGAGGCAGCAGUGGGGAAUAUUGCACAAUGGGGGAAACCCUGAUGCAGCAACGCCGCGUGAGUGAUGACGGUCUUCGGAUUGUAAAGCUCUGUCUUCAGGGACGAUAAUGACGGUACCUGAGGAGGAAGCCACGGCUAACUACGUGCCAGCCGCCGCCGUAACAC